rnacentral:rRNA from 1 species
AGCUCCAAUAGCGUAUAUUUAAGUUGCUGCGGUUAAAAAGCUCGUAGUCGGAUCUCGGGUGGUUCCUACCGGUCCGCCUUUGGUGAGUACUGGUAGGCGCCACCUUUCUGCCGAGGACGGGUUCCUGGGCUUGACUGUCUGGGUCCCGGAGUCGGCGUUGUCACUUUGAGUAAAUUAGGGUGUUUAAAGCAGGCUUAUGCUCUGUAUACACUAGCAUGGGAUGACACGAUAGGACUUCGGUCUAUCUUGUCGGUCUGUAGAUCGGAGUAAUGAUUAAGAGGGACAGUCGGGGGCAUUCGUAUUUCGUAGUCAGAGGUGAAAUUCUUGGAUUUACGGAAGACGAACUUCUGCGAAAGCAUUUGCCAAGGAUGUUUUCA